UCCAUAUAUCAAUAAUCAUAAUCCAUUUAAGAACUAUCUACGAAAUAACUAUGCAUGGAUCAAAAACAUAUCAGUAAAUAUAAUUCAUUCAAGGCAAAAGUUUAGAGUUUACUUCAAAGAGCAAUACAUCAAAGGUUCAUCCAUCUCCCUCCCUAAGAAAUUAGCCGGCCAUAAACAUAAAAGGAACUCCCCUGUUCCUC
rnacentral:lncRNA from 1 species